rnacentral:rRNA from 1 species
GUCCACGCCGUAAACGAUGGGCGCUAGGUGUGGGAGGUGUCGACUCCUCCCGUGCCGCAGCUAACGCAUUAAGCGCCCCGCCUGGGGAGUACGGCCGCAAGGCUAAAACUCAAAGGAAUUGACGGGGGCCCGCACAAGCAGCGGAGCAUGUGGUUUAAUUGGAUGCAACGCCAAGAACCUUACCAAGGCUUGACAUGGUCGGGAAAGCCGGAGAAAUUCGGCCCUCCUUCGGGACUCGAUCACAGGUGGUGCAUGGCUGUCGU